AAGAAGAUCAAAAUGUGGCAUAACCGGUCAAACUGAGCUGCCCAAGAAGUGAUUACUGCUUUGUUUCAUCACCUGAGAUGUGAAAUUUUGCUGCUGAGCAAGCUAUUUUUUCAGUCCCCAGCAAAGCUAUUUAUACCAUAUAGAGAGGCCAGUCACAAGUUCAGGAUCGUGAUGGUCCUCCUUGCCUCACCCUGCUCUCCUCUUUCCUCUCUUCCCCUUUUCAAGUUAACAAGCAAAARCUUCAGGAGGGUCAAGCCUACUUUCUCUCUACAGAUUCUGGCUGCUGCAACUGAAUGAAAACUACAGCUUCAAACUGACAGWGACCAAUGAUAUAUUGGGUAAAGGGUAGUCUUCUCAGUUGUGCUGAAUCUCCUUUGAACUGCUCCAAUGGCAAAAGCACCUGCUGCGGGUCCACUCCAAGAGAGGUUUUCCAAGGGGAGUAUAGCUGCAGAAUCACCUUGCCCAGUGGGGAAGAGGAGCAGAGGGAUAGGAGCAAGGCUGGGUUCCUGAGCGGGGCUACAGCUGCAAUGAUUCCUCUUAGCUGCCUGGCCCUGAGGAGGCCCUUGGGAGAGAGGUGGCCCGCUUGGUGAUUCUGCCCCAUAGGAAAGGUCCAGCACAGAGGGAGCAGAGUGCAACUCUAUUGACACCUUGAGACUUUGAUUCUUCAUCCAGGUAUUCACCUAUCGGUUGUAGUAUCUCAAAGGGAAAUUACAUUUUGUAUCAAAAACACAUGUUUUCGGAAGAAAAAAAAUACUGAAAGUCCUGUUUUCAGUCAGAAGUGAGUUCAGUGUUACAAGUGUCAGAAAGUGGUUCUGUUAACAAGAUUCACUUAAGGACCGAUGCAUGACGGCCUUCUCAGUGUGAAUUAUGCUUUGUCCUUUCUUCUGCACCAACCUGGCUUUGUCCACAGUCAUAAACAUGGGAGGUGAAACCCAGGCAGGCAGUCUUGUGCAAGGAUGUUCAAGAGAAAAGAUGGGGCUACAGGAGGAGGGUGGAAGAGGAGCCAGAAUGAGGUACUCGGUCACUGUAAAUGCUGUUUUUAAGUCCUAGUGAAGCUGAUAAUGUAAGUUACCCAGGGUAAAUGAACCCUUGCAGAGCUUUGGUGUGCUGGCUGUCCCUUUGGAGGUAGAGCACAUUGCUCCUGAGCUCACUGAUCUGGACAGAAUUGCUGGGGUCAUAUUUUCAUAUGGAUGAACUGUUUUUGAGCCAUUUCUCUGACACAUUAGGCAACAAAAUUGCUUGCCUUCCCCAGCUCUUUAAAAAUGUUCUUAUUUUCUUCUUUAAAAGACUCCUGCGGUACAGCUUAGGUUGUCUUUGGUUGUUCUGGCUUUGUCCUGGGUUGGUUGUGCAGUAGGUUGGUUUUUUUUUUUUUUUUUUUUUUUUUUUUUUUUUUUUUUUUUGUUAUAAGGGGCGUGCUUCUUAAAGGUUUCUAAUCUGUGGACUGAGCCUUGAUCAAACAUUUAUGAAACAGUAUCACCUUUCAAAUACUAUUGAAUUGAGCCCUCAACACCACUUAAAGACUGAAGAGAAAUUUCACAUGCAUUUACAAGUAUGAAAACAGGAUGAACUGAUUUAACCUAGGCCCUCCCA
ensembl:lncRNA